rnacentral:tRNA from 1 species
GCGGUAUUGGUGAAGUUUGGUUAACACACCGGUUUGUGGGUCCGGCACGCGUGGGUUCGAAUCCCACAUACCGGUCCC